GUGCCAGCAGCCGCCGCGGUAAUACGGAGGAUCCAAGCGUUAUCCGGAAUCAUUGGGUUUAAAGGGUCCGUAGGCGGGCUUGUAAGUCAGUGGUGAAAGUCUGUGGCUCAACCAUAGAAUUGCCAUUGAUACUGCUAGUCUUGAAUUAUUAUGAAGUGGUUAGAAUAUGUAGUGUAGCGGUGAAAUGCUUAGAUAUUACAUGGAAUACCAAUUGCGAAGGCAGAUCACUAAUAAUAUAUUGACGCUCAUGCACGAAAGCGUGGGGAGCAAACAGGAUUAGAUACCCUGGUAGUCCACGCCC
rnacentral:rRNA from 1 species